UACGUAGGUGUCGAGCGUUAUCCGGAAUUACUGGGCGUAAAGGGCACGCAGGCGGUCUGGACAGUUCAGCGUGAAAGCUCCCGGCUUAACUGGGAGAGGUCGUUGAAAACUAUCAGACUUGAGACAGGGAGAGGAAAGCGGAAUUCCCGGUGGAGUGGUGGAAUGCGUAGAGAUCGGGAAGAACACCCGUGGCGAAAGCGGCUUUCUGGCCCUGGUCUGACGCUGAGGUGCGAAAGCGUGGGGAGCGAACGGG
rnacentral:misc_RNA from 1 species